CCCCAGAGGAUGCUAAGUGUUAGAGGGUUUCCGCCCUUUAGUGCUGAAGUUAACGCAUUAAGCACUCCGCCUGGGGAGUACGGCCGCAAGGCUGAAACUCAAAGGAAUUGACGGGGGCCCGCACAAGCGGUGGAGCAUGUGGUUUAAUUCAAAGCAACGCGAAGAACCUUACCAGGUCUUGACAUCCUCUGAAAACCCUAGAGAUAGGGCUUCUCCUUCGGGAGCAGAGUGACAGGUGGUGCAUGGUUGUCGUCAGCUCGUGUCGUGAGAUGUUGGGUUAAGUCCCGCAACGAGCGCAACCCUUGAUCUUAUUUGCCAUCAUUAAGUUGGGCACUCUAAGGUGACUGCCGGUGACAAACCGGAGGAAGGUGGGGAUGACGUCAAAUCAUCAUGCCCCUUAUGACCUGGGCUACACACGUGCUACAAUGGACGGUACAAAGAGCUGCAAGACCGCGAGGUGGAGCUAAUCUCAUAAAACCGUUCUCAGUUCGGAUUGUAGGCUGCAACUCGCCUACAUGAAGCUGAAAUCGCUAUUAAUCGCGGAUCAGCAUGCCGCGGUGAAUACGUUCCCGGGCCUUGUACACACCGCCCGUCACACCACGAGAGUUUGUAACACCCGAAGUCGUUGGGGUAACCUUUUUGGAGCCAUCCGCCUAAGGUGGGACAUAUGAUUGGGGUGAAGUGGUAACAAGGUACC
rnacentral:rRNA from 1 species